rnacentral:rRNA from 1 species
CCUACGGGUGGCAGCAGUCGAGAAUCAUUCACAAUGGGGGAAACUCUGAUGGUGCGACGCCGCGUGGGGGAAUGAAGGUCUUCGGAUUGUAAACCCCUGUCAUGUGGGAGCAAAUUAAAAAGAUAGUACCACAAGAGGAAGAGACGGCUAACUCUGUGCCAGCAGCCGCGGUAAUACAGAGGUCUCAAGCGUUGUUCGGAAUCACUGGGCGUAAAGCGUGCGUAGGCUGUUUCGUAAGUCGUGUGUGAAAGGCGCGGGCUCAACCCGCGGACGGCACAUGAUACUGCGAGACUAGAGUAAUGGAGGGGGAACCGGAAUUCGCGGUGUAGCAGUGAAAUGCGUAGAUAUCGAGAGGAACACUCGUGGCGAAGGCGGGUUACUGGACAUUAACUGACGCUGAGGCACGAAGGCCAGGGGAGCGAAAGGGAUUAGAUACCCCUGUAGUC